CUCAUCUCACCCUGGAGCUACUCAGAGUCCCUGCUAGCUUUCCUUCCGACCCUUAUAAUGUGGGUGCCCUGAGGAACCGGGAGGCCCCAUCUGCCUGCACCAGGUCCCUCCCAGCUCCACAUUCGCCUACAAGUCCUCGGUUUCACCACUUCCUGGAGACUGAGCACUUUGGGACACGCUCUGACCUCAGCGACCGCCUCUUAGCUCGUCUCUCCCUAAAAAAACACUGGCACCCACUCCAGUGAAGUGAGAAGUCUCCACCUUUCCUGAGGCUAGCUGAGGAAAUCCUUCCUUGUGUCCUGACAACAGUUCUCUCCGCUGCAUAUUCAACUAGACCCAGAAGACUAGACACAACCUGCCCUGAUCA